GCGAGGGUAGCCAAGCUGGCCAAAGGCGCCGGACUUAAGAUCCGGUCACGAAGGUGUCCAUGGGUUCGAAUCCCAUCCCUCGCA
rnacentral:tRNA from 1 species